GACGUAGGAUGCAAGCGUUGUUCGGAUUUAUUGGGCGUAAAGCGUACGUAGGCGGUUAUCUAAGUCUGGUGUUAAAGCUAGGGGCUCAACCCCUGUGUUGCACUGGAAACUGGGUGACUUGAGAACGGUAGGGGAAGGUGGAAUUCCGAGUGUAGCGGUGAAAUGCGUAGAUAUUCGGAAGAACACCGGUGGCGAAGGCGACCCUCUGGGCCGUUUCUGACGCUGAGGUACGAAAGCGUGGGGAGCAAACAGG
rnacentral:rRNA from 1 species